UGAGUAAUGCAUAAGAACCUGCCAUUGGGAGGGGAACAACAACUGAAAAUGGUUGCUAAUACCCCAUAGGCUAAGGAGCAAAAGGAUAAAUCUGUUCAACAAGGGGCUCACGUCUGGUUAGCUAGUUGGUGAGGCAAUAGCUUACCAAGGCGAUGAUGACAGUACGGGAAUCCCCGUA
rnacentral:ncRNA from 1 species